rnacentral:tRNA from 1 species
AAGACACUAGUAAAACAGAUAUAACACUGCCUUGUCAAGGCAGAAUCGUGGGUUAAACCCCCGCGUGUCUUGCCCCC